rnacentral:rRNA from 1 species
UGGGGAAUCUUGGACAAUGGGCGCAAGCCUGAUCCAGCCAUGCCGCGUGGAUGAUGAAGGCCUUAGGGUUGUAAAAUCCUUUCGCCGAGGACGAUAAUGACGGUACCCGCAGAAUAAGCCCCGGCUAACUUCGUGCCAGCAGCCGCGGUAAUACGUAGGGUGCAAGCGUUAAUCGGAAUUACUGGGCGUAAAGCGUGCGCAGGCGGUUGUGUAAGUCAGAUGUGAAAUCCCCGGGCUCAACCUGGGAAUUGCAUUUGAGACUGCACGGCUAGAGUGUGUCAGAGGGGGGUAGAAUUCCACGUGUAGCAGUGAAAUGCGUAGAGAUGUGGAGGAAUACCAAUGGCGAAGGCAGCCCCCUGGGUUAAUACUGACGCUCAUGCACGAAAGCGUGGGGAGCAAACAGGAUUAGAUACCCAAGUAGUCCCUGAGCGGGCUGGCAAGGCGCAU